ensembl:lncRNA
UUAUUUGCUGGCUAAUAACAAUAAGCUUUGAGUGAGACCUAUGGCAACUAACGUUACAGUUUAGUUGCUAACCAGCAAAGUUGCACAUGCUUGUCAAUCCGGUUGGUUUCUUUGUUGCUUGAAGGACAGCAAUAUGUCCUGACCUACAGGUUCAGCCAGGACCACUUGGAGCUUCUCUUCAACUCCAUCAGAGUAUCUGGUAGGGUUCAUAAUUUAUAUUUACCAGCCGCAACACUAAGUGACUUGUAUUGUUUUCAGUUUGUCGGUCCAUAUGUUUUUUUACUUUUGGUAACAUGUGUUUUCUGCAGACAUACACCCUAACCCUAAGACAUACACAAUACCUGGAAGUGUCGCAAACCAUUUUGAGUAUUUAGAAAAAUGCCUGUGUUUGUCUAUUUGUUUGCAGAACUUAUCAUCACUGAUACAGUCUGAAUUUUAUGAUAAUGUCAUUCAACCUAUUUUAUGUGGAAAGAUCAUUCAGGGGUGGCUAGUUCUAAUUAGUAUUUUUUUGUAAAAAUGUUUUAAGCAUAAAACAUUUUAAAGCAUGUAUUGAAUAUCUGUGUACAAUUCUUUUAUAUAUUUAUUUUCCUUAAACGAAUAACAACCCUAAUGCCAGCCAGUUAAAAGUACAUCUUUAGGAUGUAAAGCUGAUGGCCCAGUGUGGGGUUGUUAAACCAUGCAGAGGCAAUGUGACGGCACAGGAUGACACAGAGUCCCUACCAGUUGUCAUCGACACCUCUACAAGCCUGUCAGCUGUAGAUGUGUCCUCUGCAGCAGGAGGAGAAGAUCUUCCAUCCCCGUUUGCUGACAUUCCUGCCCUAGUACAUGAUCACAGCUACCUUCCCGUCCACUUCGAUGGUCUUGUGGACAACGCUCUCAUGUACAUUUCAGGAUUUGUUGUGCAACAGGCUCUGAAGAAGCUGUCGUGUGAUGUCUGCCGUGCAAGCCUGGUGACAUGCUGCAUCUGCCAUCAAGGACCAGAGCUACCACAUGCUGAAUUUAAAAACAAUGGAGCUCUGGUGAUUCCAUCAGAGGGAACCAUGAGUUUCAUCAGGGCAGCAGAGUGGGUCAUUCGGCAGUCAUCAGGCAGUACCAGAUGAUCACAGCCCAUCAAACUGCUUGAGGUUGUUUACAUUGUCUGAAAAAGGAUCGGUUCAGAGGAUGUUUGUGUUGGGAUAGACAUCCACCACCAUAGGCUGUUAAAAAUAAUUCUGUCCCUGUUUUUUAAGUUAAGGCUGCACCACAUCGCCAGAAUUACAAUCCUCAGCUUACAGAGCAACAACAUGUGACAGAAAUUUAAUAAAACUGUCCUUUUCAAAGGGCAUUAGCCCAAGGUAUGUGUUUUCAAGGUACUGUCCUCUUUUACUUCAACAGUAGUGUAGUGCUCUCUACAGCAUUUAUUUAUUUGUGUAUAUUUAAAUGAUUUAUUUAUAUUGUAAAGGGGAAUCAUGUACCUAUUUUUUGUGUGCAAA